CUGCUAAGACUGGAUAGGAGACAAGAAGGCAUCUUUUUGUUUUUAAAAGACCUAGCAAUAGGUAUGCUUAGGGAGGAGCUUGCGUCACAUUAGUUAGUUGGUGGGGUAAAGGCCUACCAAGACUAUGAUGUGUAGCCGGGCUGAGAGGUUGAACGGCCACAUUGGGACUGAGACACGGCCCAAACUCCUACGGGAGGCAGCAGUAGGGAAUUUUCGGCAAUGGAGGAAACUCUGACCGAGCAACGCCGCGUGAACGAUGAAGUAUUUCGGUACGUAAAGUUCUUUUAUUAGGGAAGAAUGAAUGAUGGAAAAAUCAUUCUGACGGUACCUAAUGAAUAAGCCCCGGCUAACUAUGUGCCAGCAGCCGCGGUAAUACAUAGGGGGCAAGCGUUAUCCGGAAUUAUUGGGCGUAAAGGGUGCGUAGGCGGUUAAAUAAGUUUAUGGUCUAAGUGCAAUGCUUAACAUUGUGAUGCUAUAAAAACUGUUUAGCUAGAGUAAGAUAGAGGCAAGUGGAAUUCCAUGUGUAGUGGUAAAAUGCGUAAAUAUAUGGAGGAACACCAGUAGCGAAGGCGGCUUGCUGGGUCUUUACUGACGCUGAGGCACGAAAGCGUGGGGAGCAAACAGGAUUAGAUACCCUGGUAGUCCACGCCGUAAACGAUGAGUACUAAAUGUUGGGUAAAACCAGUGUUGAAGUUAACACAUUAAGUACUCCGCCUGAGUAGUACGUACGCAAGUAUGAAACUUAAAGGAAUUGACGGGACUCCGCACAAGCGGUGGAUCAUGUUGUUUAAUUCGAAGGUACCCGAAAAACCUCACCAGGUCUUGACAUGCUUCUGCAAAGCUGUAGAAACACAGUGGAGGUUAUCAGUUGCACAGGUGGUGCAUGGUUGUCGUCAGCUCGUGUCGUGAGAUGUUGGGUUAAGUCCCGCAACGAGCGCAACCCUUAUUGUUAGUUGCCAGCACGUAAUGGUGGGGACUUUAGCAAGACUGCCAGUGAUAAAUUGGAGGAAGGUGGGGACGACGUCAAAUCAUCAUGCCCCUUAUGACCUGGGCUACAAACGUGAUACAAUGGCUGUUACAAAGGGUAGCUGAAACGUAAGUUUUUGGCGAAUCUCAAAAAAACAGUCUCAGUUCGGAUUGAAGUCUGCAACUCGACUUCAUGAAGUUGGAAUCGCUAGUAAUCGCGAAUCAGCAUGUCGCGGUGAAUACGUUCUCGGGGUUUGUACACACCGCCCGUCAAA
rnacentral:rRNA from 1 species